GAUGAAGAACGCAGCGAAAUGCGAUACUUGGUGUGAAUUGCAGAAUCCCGUGAACCAUCGAGUCUUUGAACGCAAGUUGCGCCCGAAGCCAUUAGGCCGAGGGCACGCCUGCCUGGGCGUUACACGUCGCGCGGUUGGCAUAAAUGCCAAGUCCUCGGCGACGCACGCCACGACAAUCGGUGGUUGCGAAACCUCGGUUGCCCGUCGUGUGCGGUCGUCGCGCAUCGAGGGCUCGAAAAAAUUGCCGGGCUCCGGCUCGGCUUUCAACGCGACCCCAGGUCAGGCGGGGUUACCCGCUGAAUUUAAGCAUAUCAAUAAGCGGAGGA
rnacentral:misc_RNA from 1 species